rnacentral:rRNA from 1 species
AUGAACGCUGGCGGCGUGCCUAAUACAUGCAAGUCGAGCGAACGGACGAGAAGCUUGCUUCUCUGAUGUUAGCGGCGGACGGGUGAGUAACACGUGGAUAACCUACCUAUAAGACUGGGAUAACUUCGGGAAACCGGAGCUAAUACCGGAUAAUAUUUUGAACCGCAUGGUUCAAAAGUGAAAGACGGUCUUGCUGUCACUUAUAGAUGGAUCCGCGCUGCAUUAGCUAGUUGGUAAGGUAACGGCUUACCAAGGCAACGAUGCAUAGCCGACCUGAGAGGGUGAUCGGCCACACUGGAACUGAGACACGGUCCAGACUCCUCCGGGAGGCAGCAGUAGGGAAUCUUCCGCAAUGGGCGAAAGCCUGACGGAGCAACGCCGCGUGAGUGAUGAAGGUCUUCGGAUCGUAAAACUCUGUUAUUAGGGAAGAACAUAUGUGUAAGUAACUGUGCACAUCUUGACGGUACCUAAUCAGAAAGCCACGGCUAACUACGUG